CGGGACGCUGCAGGGAUGCCAUCACCUCGAGAAGGGGCGAGGAGUCCACUCCAUCGUAUGCCCAGUUGAUGUCCCCGGGUACUCACUAUGGCACGAAGAGCCCCUCAACGUUAUCCUCUUCGACCGGCAUCACCACGACGGGUCAGAUGUGCCACGCACAGGACACAGGGAGACAAGGGCAGGAGCGGCAGCAGGCGGCGGUGGAGCACGCAGCAAGGAGGCAAAUAACUGAAGCUGAAGGCUCUUUUCUGAAUGAUGAUAAAUCUAGGAGAGGGUGACGAAUUACUUUGUGCAAAUCUCCCACUGAUUUGUGUCCUUGAGGAAGUCCUUUCUUGCAUGGGUUUUAUAAUACGAAUUAGACAUUUCUUGCUUGCGAACAACUGAUUGCAUCUCUUCUUGUUGCAUGAACAACCAUAUAUAUAUACUCCUAGAGCGGCAGAGCUAAUGCAUCAUCAGUGGUCAGGAUAGUCAAGCAUCAUGGCACAUUUGCAGUACAUCUUGAAGGAUAACAACAGUAGCUUACGAGAGUGGAACAACGUAAUGCAAACACACACUUUAUA